rnacentral:lncRNA from 10 species
UUUAAGUUCUGGAGCCUGCCUGUGUUCAGAAUCCAGCUCUCCCGUUUGCUAGCUGUCAGACCUUGGGCAAGCUUUGUGCUGAUGAACAUGGUCACCUUGAAAGGUGUGUUGAAUAUGGCAGAGCCAGAAAAUGCAAGGAGCUUCUUCUCUGGAUCACCACUUGAAGAAGAGCCACUUGCUCCUCAGGAACCCUAUUUUGGACUGACGUUUAAUACAACAUGGAAGCCACCAAGGCUUACAGAAUGUGCUUUCCAGAGCUGUGACCUGAACUGUACCUGGGGCCUUUUGAGUGAGGCUGGAACUGGAGUGGCCUGGAUGCAGAGAGCAGUGUCCUAAGGCUGUGCAGGUUGCAAGAAAGCUCAAGUAGCCUAUGGAGAGGAUGCAAGGCUUCCAGCUGAUGCCCUCAGCCAGGCUCAGUAGCAGCCAGAACUAGCCUACCAACGAACCUGCUGAUCAUGUGCAUAAGCCACCUUGAACGUCGAUCCUCCUGCCUGGUGGAGCCAUCCCAGCUGAUGCCACAUGAAGCAGACACAAGCUGUCCCUACUAAGCUCUGCUCAAGUUGGAUAUUCAUGAGUGAAAUAAAUGACUGUUACUAAGUAAUUAAUUUUUGGGUGGCUGUUAUGUAGCAGUAGAUAAUUGGAACAAAGCUUAUUGACAUAAUACAUCUAUAUCACAUCCUCCAAUCCAUUUUUUUAAGUAAUAAAGUUGAUGUUUGUUUUGAUUUUCAGUUACAGCUUUACAUAUUUUGUCUUAAUUAGUCAAUUUUUUCCAAACUCAAAAUGGGUUUUUGUAAGAGUAGUAGUAGGGUCCUAGAAUAAUGGCAAUUCUCUUUCACUGGAGAAAGUUUUGUAGAGAAGACAAAAGAAUUUUUACAAGUACUCCACUGGUGAAAACUCAUAAACCUUGAAGCUGAGCUGAUGAUCUUUUAAAUAAAAAACUACAACCACCUGUCUUAAUCUAGAGACUACUCAGUGGUUGAUUUUUCAGGAUUGGAGCCAGGCUGUCUGGGUUCAAUUACAGGCUCUUAGACUUUGAAUUUGUUUCUUAACUGCUCUGUCCCUAAAUUUUCUUUCUUUUUUUCUUUAUUAUUAUUUCUUUUUUGGUAAAACAGGAUUUAUAAGUAGUAUAUGCCUCAUAAAAUUGCUGGAAGAAUUAAAUGAAUUAAUUUAUGUAGUGUACUUAGAAGAGCAUUUAUGUUAGCUAGUAUGUGUCUACUUACUUUGACCUCCCAUUGGAUUGUAAAAGCUGGAGAACAAGGGCUCUGUCUUAUUUUGCUGAUGUUUUCUUCAGUGCUGGGACUAGGGUGAGGUGAGCGAAGCACCUGACUGGCUGCAAAAUUCAGUGAGAGUGUAGGGGAAGCAAAAAACAUAAACAACCAAGAUAAAUAAUAUUUUAGUGCAGUGCUUUUAAAAAUCAAAAUUAGUGGCCGGGCGUGGUGGCUUAUGCCUGUAAUCCCAGCACUUUGGGAAGCCCAGGUGGGCAGAUCACAAGGUCAGGAGAUCGAGA